UACGAAGGUGGCAAGCGUUGUUCGGAUUUACUGGGCGUACAGGGAGCGUAGGCGGUUGGAUAAGCCCUCCGUGAAAUCUCCAGGCUUAACCUGGAAAGUGCAGAGGGGACUGUUCAGCUAGAGGAUGGGAGAGGAGCGCGGAAUUCCCGGUGUAGCGGUGAAAUGCGUAGAUAUCGGAAGGAACAUCAGUGGCGAAAGCGGCUUCCUGGACCAGUACCGACGUUCAGGCACGAAAGCGUGGGGAGCAAACAGG
rnacentral:rRNA from 1 species